UGGUCAAGUUAUUAAGGGUGCAGGGCGGAUGCCUUGGCACUAGGAGCCGAUGAAGGACGUGAUAAGCUGCGAUAAGCUUCGGGGAGUUGCACGUAAACUUUGAUCCGAAGAUUUCCGAAUGAGGAAACUCACUUAGAGUAAUGUCUAAGUAUCAUUAAGUGAAUACAUAGCUUAAUGAGGGGAACUCAGGGAACUGAAACAUCUAAGUACCUGAAGGAAGAGAAAGAAAUUCGAUUCCGUAAGUAGCGGCGAGCGAACGCGGAUUAGCCCAAACCAAUAAAGUUUUCUUUAUUGGGGUUGAGGACAUACCACAUAUAAGAGGUCAUUAUAGACGAAGAAGUUUGGAAAAACUCAUCAUAGAAGGUAAUAAUCCUGUAGUCAAAAUAAUAAUUCUUUAGGUAUGAUCCAGAGUACCACGGGACACGUGAAACCCUGUGGGAAGCAGGAGGGACCACCCUCCAAGGCUAAAUACUACCUAGUGACCGAUAGCGUAUAGUACCGUGAGGGAAAGGUGAAAAGAACCCCGGGAGGGGAGUGAAAUAGAACCUGAAACCCUGCACUUACAAGCUGUGGAAGCACAUUUCUUGUGUGACCGCGUACUUUUUGUAGAACGGGCCAACGAGUUACGUUAAGUAGCAAGGUUAAGCACUUAAGGUGCGGAGCCGUAGCGAAAGCGAGUUUUAACUGAGCGUUCAGUUACUUGACGUAGACCCGAAACCGGGCGACCUACCCAUGAGCAGGAUGAAGCGAAAGUAAAAUUUCGUGGAGGUCCGAACCCACGAGCGUUGAAAAGCUCGGGGAUGACUUGUGGGUAGCGGUGAAAUUCCAAUCGAGCCCGGAGAUAGCUGGUUCUCCCCGAAAUAGCUUUAGGGCUAGCCUCAAGGUGAGAGAUACGGAGGUAGAGCACUGAAUGUCCUAGGGGGUAUUGCACCUACCGAAGACUAUCAAACUCCGAAUGCCGUCAUCUUAUACUUGGGAGUCAGACUGUGGGUGAUAAGAUUCAUAGUCGAAAGGGCAACAGCCCAGAUCGUCAGCUAAGGUCCCUAAAUGUAAGUUAAGUGGUAAAGGAUGUGGGAUUGCACAGACAACCAGGAUGUUGGCUUAGAAGCAGCCACUCAUUCAAAGAGUGCGUAAUAGCUCACUGGUCGAGUGAUCCUGCGCCGAAGAUUUCCGGGGCUAAAACUUACUACCGAAGCUACGGCAUCAGUAAUGAUGGGUAGGGGAGCUUCCCAUACGGGUUGAAGCAUGACCGUAAGGACAUGUGGACAGUAUGGGAGUGAGAAUGUUGGCAUGAGUAGCGAGAUGUGGGUGAGAAUCCCACAGGCCGUAAACCCAAGGUUUCCAGGGGAAGGUUCGUCCGCCCUGGGUUAGUCGGGACCUAAGCUGAGGCCGAAAGGCGUAGGUGAUGGACAACAGGUUGAUAUUCCUGUACUACCGAUAACCGUUUGAGAGAAGGGAUGACACAGUAGGAUAAGCUAAGCACACUGUUGGUUAUGUGUGCCCAAGCAUUGAGGCAGUCAAAGUAGGCAAAUCCGCUUUGAUAAUGCUGGGAUGUGAUGGGGAGCGAAAUUUAGUAGCGAAGUAGCUGAUUUCACACUGUCAAGAAAAGUCUCUAUCGAGGUUAAAGGUACCCGUACCGCAAACCGACACAGGUGGGUGAGGAGAGUAUCCUAAGGCCAGCGAGAGAACUGUUGUUAAGGAACUCGGCAAAAUGACCCCGUAACUUAGGGAUAAGGGGUGCCACCAUCAGGUGGCCGCAGAGAAUAGGCCCAAGCGACUGUUUACCAAAAACAUAGGUUUCUGCUAAGUCGCAAGACGAUGUAUAGGAGCUGACGCCUGCCCGGUGCUGGAAGGUUAAGGGGAUCUGUUAGAGCAAUCGAAGCAGUGAACUUAAGCCCCAGUAAACGGCGGCCGUAACUAUAACGGUCCUAAGGUAGCGAAAUUCCUUGUCGGGUAAGUUCCGACCCGCACGAAAGGCGUAACGAUUUGGGCACUGUCUCAACAACAGACUCGGUGAAAUUGUAAUUCCGGUGAAGAUGCCGGAUACCUGCGACAGGACGGAAAGACCCCAUGGAGCUUUACUGUAGCUUGACAUUGGGUCUUGGUACUACAUGUACAGGAUAGGUGGGAGGCUUUGAAACCAGGACGCCAGUUUUGGCGGAGCCAUCCUUGGGAUACCACCCUUGUAGUACUGGGACUCUAACCAUAGGCCAUGAAUCUGGUCUUGGGACACUGUCAGGUGGGCAGUUUGACUGGGGCGGUCGCCUCCCAAAAGGUAACGGAGGCGCUCAAAGGUUCUCUCAGUACGGUCGGAAAUCGUACGUAGAGUGUAAAGGCAAAAGAGAGCUUGAUUGCAAGACAUACAGGUCGAGCAAGGAUGAAAAUCGGACUUAGUGAUCCGGUGGUUCUGCGUGGAAGGGCCAUCGCUCAACGGAUAAAAGCUACCCUGGGGAUAACAGGCUUAUCUCCCCCAAGAGUCCACAUCGACGGGGAGGUUUGGCACCUCGAUGUCGGCUCAUCACAUCCUGGGGCUGUAGUAGGUCCCAAGGGUUGGGCUGUUCGCCCAUUAAAGUGGUACGCGAGCUGGGUUCAGAACGUCGUGAGACAGUUCGGUCCCUAUCCGUCGCAGGCGUAGGAAAUUUGAGAAGACCUGUCCUUAGUACGAGAGGACCGGGAUGGACGUACCUCUGGUGUACCAGUUGUCCUGCCAAGGGCAUGGCUGGGUAGCUAUGUACGGAAUGGAUAAGCGCUGAAAGCAUCUAAGCGCGAAGCCAACUUCAAGAUAAGAUUUCCCACCGCAAGGGUAAGACCCCAGAAAGACUAUCUGGUUGAUAGGUCGAAGGUGUAAGUGCAGCAAUGUAUUUAGCUUAUCGAUACUAAUAGGUCGAGGACUUGACCAAU
rnacentral:rRNA from 1 species